rnacentral:ncRNA from 17 species
GUUCGUCUUCAGGGCAGGGUGCAAUUCCCGACCGGCGGUAUAGUCCGCGACCCGCUUAUGCGGUGGAACCGGUGUGACUCCGGUACCGAUAGUGAUAGUCUAGAUGGAAGAAGAUGGGG